AGGACGAACGCUGGCGGCGUGCUUAACACAUGCAAGUCGAGCGGAAAGGCCCUUCGGGGUACUCGAGCGGCGAACGGGUGAGUAACACGUGAGUAAUCUGCCCCUAGCUCUGGGAUAGCUCCGGGAAACCGGGAUUAAUACCAGAUACAACCACUUUAGACAUCUCUUGUGGUGGAAAGAUUUAUCGGCUAGGGAUGGGCUCGCGGCCUAUCAGCUUGUUGGUGGGGUAAUGGCCUACCAAGGCGACGACGGGUA
rnacentral:rRNA from 1 species